GUAUUGAGGCUUGGGUGAGGGGACUGGAUCUCGUGUGGAGUAACGUGAUCGUUCUUACAUGCUGUCAUCUGGGUUUUUGGAGGCGCGGGGAUGAUUGGGGAGAGGAGUGACCACUGAUCGAUUGAGUGAAACGCUGCGGUUCUCUUUGUUAGGGGUGAUUGUUGGAUCGGUGGUUGGAGACAUCGGUGGAGAGGCUGGGGGAUGUGAGAUGGCACGGGGAUUUUUCAGUGCGAGAGGUGGUGGUGGGUGCCUCGGGCUGUCUGUUAAUCCUGGGUGCCAUGGACGAGCCCGGAGAAGCAGUCAAUGGGGUGUGGGAGGAACACUCGUUCAUUGAGGACGUUAGCCUCUCUGGGUUGAAUGACGAGGGAUCAGAAUGAACCGGCGUGAUCAGGAUCCGCUGCUGCGUCAGCACUGUAGUCGUCUUCUGCAACUAGCUGAGACGACUAAUAUAAAACCUGGUCGGGGGAGUGGGAAGAGACGAGGGCAGAAGGGCCAUGGAUUCACAUCAAGCAAUGCUGGUAGUGGGGCACGGAUUACACUCCAGGACAUCGUGAGAAAUGAUCCCAGUUAUACGCCUAACAUUGAG